rnacentral:rRNA from 1 species
UACGUAGGGUGCGAGCGUUGUCCGGAAUUAUUGGGCGUAAAGAGCUCGUAGGCGGUGUGUCGCGUCGGCCGUGAAAACCUGCAGCUUAACUGUGGGCGUGCGGUCGAUACGGGCAUCACUGGAGUUCGGCAGGGGAGACUGGAAUUCCUGGUGUAGCGGUGAAAUGCGCAGAUAUCAGGAGGAACACCGGUGGCGAAGGCGGAUCUCUGGGCCUUGCCUGACGCUGAGGCGCGAAAGCUAGGGGAGCGAACAGG